UACAGAGGGUGCGAACGUUAAUCGGAAUUACUGGGCGUAAAGCGCACGUAGGCGGCUUGGUAUGUCGGGUGUGAAAUCCCCGGGCUCAACCUGGGAACUGCAUCCGAAACUGCCUUGCUAGAGUACGGUAGAGGGGGAUGGAAUUCCGCGUGUAGCAGUGAAAUGCGUAGAUAUGCGGAGGAACACCGAUGGCGAAGGCAAUCCCCUGGACCUGUACUGACGCUCAUGCACGAAAGCGUGGGGAGCAAACAGG
rnacentral:rRNA from 1 species